rnacentral:rRNA from 1 species
AGUUUGAUCCUGGCUCAGGACGAACGCUGGCGGCGUGCUUUAGGCAUGCAAGUCGAACGCGAAAGCCCCUUCGGGGGUGAGUAGAGUGGCGAACGGGUGAGUAACACGUGGGUAACCUGCCCCUCGCAGGGGGAUAACCGGGGGAAACCCCGGCUAAUACCCCGUACGCUUGCCGGGGCGCAUGCUCCGGCAAGGAAAGGUAGCUUCGGCCAUCCGGCGAGGGAUGGGCCCGCGCCCCAUUAGCUAGUUGGUGAGGUAACGGCUCACCAAGGCGACGAUGGGUAGCUGGCGUGAGAGCGUGGCCAGCCACACUGGGACUGAGACACGGCCCAGACUCCUACGGGAGGCAGCAGCCAGGAAUCUUGCGCAAUGGGCGAAAGCCUGACGCAGCAACGCCGCGUGGGCGAAGAAGGCCUUCGGGUCGUAAAGCCCUGUUGUCGGGGACGAAGGGCGAAGGGUUAAUAGCCCCUAGCCUGACGGUACCCGACGAGGAAGCCCCGGCUAACUACGUGCCAGCAGCCGCGGUAAUACGUAGGGGGCGAGCGUUGUCCGGAAUCAUUGGGCGUAAAGAGCGUGUAGGCGGCUCGGUAAGUCCGCUGUGAAAACCCGGGGCUCAACCCCGGGCGUGCAGUGGAUACUGCCGGGCUAGAGGACGGCAGAGGCGAGUGGAAUUCCCGGUGUAGCGGUGAAAUGCGCAGAUAUCGGGAGGAACACCAGUAGCGAAGGCGGCUCGCUGGGCCGUUCCUGACGCUGAGACGCGAAAGCUAGGGGAGCGAACAGGAUUAGAUACCCUGGUAGUCCUAGCCGUAAACGAUGGGCACUAGGUGUGGGGGGAGUCGAAUCUCUCCGUGCCGUAGCUAACGCGUAA